rnacentral:lncRNA from 1 species
UGAUUAACAAAAAAUAUUUGUAUUUUUGUGCAUAUAGUAGAAACAUGCUUUAUGGGAUGGUUUAGUUAUUUUGGGAAGACUUUGUUCUUCUUCAAUUUCUGUUGUGUCCCAAGUAUCUCUAAUCUGCUACUGGAUCCAGGAAUUUAAACCUUGUUAUACAAGAAAAUAUGUCAUAUAAUAGAAACAUGCUUUAUGGGAUGGUUUAGUUAUUUUGGGAAGACUUUGUUCUUCUUCAAUUUCUGUUGUGUCCCAAGUAUCUCUAAUCUGCUACUGGAUCCAGGAAUUUAAACCUUGUUAUACAAGAAAAUAUGACAUAAAGUGUAUAUGAGUGCAAUCUGCAGGUGGUUUCAUUUUUGAAAGAUCUAGGAUUUGAUCAGGAAACUGUGGGC